GGCGCAGUUCGCGGGUGCGGAGGUAGGCCUGCAAAGCCGUCCGUGCGAGUUCGACUCUCGCCUGCGUCUCCA
rnacentral:tRNA from 1 species